UACGUAGGGGGCUAGCGUUGUCCGGAAUCAUUGGGCGUAAAGCGCGUGUAGGCGGUCCGGUAAGUCCGCCGUGAAAGUCCAGGGCUCAACCCUGGAAUGCCGGUGGAAACUGUCGGGCUGGAGUCCGGAAGAGGCGAGUGGAAUUCCUGGUGUAGCGGUGAAAUGCGCAGAUAUCAGGAGGAACACCAAUGGCGAAGGCAGCUCGCUGGGACGGUGACUGACGCUGAGACGCGAAAGCGUGGGGAGCAAACAGG
rnacentral:rRNA from 1 species